AACAGGAUUAGAUACCCUGGUAGUCCACGCCCUAAACGAUGUCUACUAGUUGUCGGGUCUUAAUUGACUUGGUAACGCAGCUAACGCGUGAAGUAGACCGCCUGGGGAGUACGGUCGCAAGAUUAAAACUCAAAGGAAUUGACGGGGACCCGCACAAGCGGUGGAUGAUGUGGAUUAAUUCGAUGCAACGCGAAAAACCUUACCUACCCUUGACAUGUACAGAAUCCCGAAGAGAUUUGGGAGUGUUCGAAAGAAAACUGUAACACAGGUGCUGCAUGGCUGUCGUCAGCUCGUGUCGUGAGAUGUUGGGUUAAGUCCCGCAACGAGCGCAACCCUUGUCAUUAGUUGCUACGAAAGGGCACUCUAAUGAGACUGCCGGUGACAAACCGGAGGAAGGUGGGGAUGACGUCAAGUCCUCAUGGCCCUUAUGGGUAGGGCUUCACACGUCAUACAAUGGUACAUACAGAGGGCCGCCAACCCGCGAGGGGGAGCUAAUCCCAGAAAGUGUAUCGUAGUCCGGAUUGUAGUCUGCAACUCGACUACAUGAAGUUGGAAUCGCUAGUAAUCGCGGAUCAGCAUGUCGCGGUGAAUACGUUCCCGGGUCUUGUACACACCGCCCGUCACACCAUGGGAGCGGGUUUUACCAGAAGUAGGUAGCCUAACCGUAAGGAGGGCGCUUACCACGGUAGGAUUCGUGACUGGGGUGAAGUCGUAACAAGGUAACCGUAAAU
rnacentral:rRNA from 1 species